AUACGGAGGGGGCAAGCGUUGUCCGGAUUUAUUGGGUUUAAAGGGUGCGUAGGUGGCGUGUUAAGUCAGUGGUGAAAGCCUGCAGCUCAACUGUAGAGGUGCCAUUAAUACUGACAUGCUUGAGUAUGGACGAGGUAGGCGGAAUUUGUGGUGUAGCGGUGAAAUGCAUAGAUACCACAAAGAACACCGAUAGCGAAGGCAGCUUACUGGACCAUAACUGACACUGAGGCACAAAAGUGUGGGUAGCGAACAGGAUUAGAUACCCUAGUAGUCC
rnacentral:rRNA from 1 species